rnacentral:rRNA from 1 species
AGAGUUCGAUCCUGGCUCAGGAUAAACGCUGGCGGCGUGCUUAACACAUGCAAGUCGAACGAAGUUUUUCUUUCGGGAGGAACUUAGUGGCGGACGGGUGAGUAACGCGUGGGUAACCUGCCCUGUACAGGGGGACAACAGCUGGAAACGGCUGCUAAUACCGCAUAAGCCCUUAGCACUGCAUGGUGCAUAGGGAAAAGGAGCAAUCCGGUACAGGAUGGACCCGCGUCUGAUUAGCCAGUUGGCAGGGUAACGGCCUACCAAAGCGACGAUCAGUAGCCGAUCUGAGAGGAUGUACGGCCACAUUGGGACUGAGACACGGCCCAGACUCCUACGGGAGGCAGCAGUGGGGAAUAUUGCACAAUGGAGGAAACUCUGAUGCAGCGACGCCGCGUGAGUGAAGAAGUAUUUCGGUAUGUAAAGCUCUAUCAGCAGGGAAGAAAAUGACGGUACCUGACUAAGAAGCACCGGCUAAAUACGUGCCAGCAGCCGCGGUAAUACGUAUGGUGCAAGCGUUAUCCGGAUUUACUGGGUGUAAAGGGAGCGUAGGUGGCAAGGCAAGCCAGAAGUGAAAACCCGGGGCUCAACCGCGGGAUUGCUUUUGGAACUGUCAUGCUAGAGUGCAGGAGGGGUGAGCGGAAUUCCUAGUGUAGCGGUGAAAUGCGUAGAUAUUAGGAGGAACACCGGAGGCGAAGGCGGCUCACUGGACUGUAACUGACACUGAGGCUCGAAAGCGUGGGGAGCAAACAGGAUUAGAUACCCUGGUAGUCCACGCGGUAAACGAUGAAUACUAGAUGUCGGGUAGCAAAGCUACUCGGUGUCGUCGCAAACGCAAUAAGUAUUCCACCUGGGGAGUACGUUCGCAAGAAUGAAACUCAAAGGAAUUGACG